AACAGAAAACCCCAAAGUAUCCAGAUGGUGAAAUCGUUCACCAUUUGAAUGGAGAGAGAGACUUCCGGUGGAAUUCCUCUUUGCCCUGCCUCGGCUUAGUCUUUGCCCUCGAUUUUGCUCAAUCGGUGUCUUCUGGUGCGAAACAUUGCCUCUUGAUUAAUGGUUUUCAAUGGUAGCGAUGAGUUCUAGUAUGAGCUAAGGUCGUGAGAAUCAUUGAAAUUAGACGAGCUCGAGCACGAAGUCAUUUGUCUGCUCGAAUUAAAGAUUUACGGUCCUCAGCUAUUCGGCAGUGAGAAGCACCUCAAAGAUUUCUCACGGCAAGGCAUACCCACUGCGAUCGUUGAUCUCCAAGGCCUCUGCGGUUUAUAUGUCCUAAGCUAUCACGCGGUGGGACUCACACCGAGAUUAUUGAACAUCAUGUGCGUGAUUUGGCCACUGUUGGGUAUCCAGUUAAGAGUGUGAAACAACCAUGCUUCAGUGGCUUCCAUCAUGCUUGUUACUAAAAUUGCGUACAACAUUGUAAGUGAAAGUAAUAGGAUGCUUAUUUUGACAUUAAUGAUUUGCCACAGUUCCUUUCCUUUGCCACCCCACAACCUCUGUGUUCGUAUGUGAAAUGAAUGCAACCAUUGUUUUAAUUUUUUCUUCCAUCAUCUCAUCAUCUUUUCAUAUUAUUAUCAUCUAGACGAGACUCAAUAGUUUCAUCAUAGGCAUUAUUUGCCUCUAGAAAUAAAACUUGAGUGUUUAGAAAAUGUCAUAGUAUAUAUAAGAUUAAAAUGAAAAUGGAAUAAUGCACAA